UGAGGAAUAUUGGUCAAUGGGCGAGAGCCUGAACCAGCCAAGUCGCGUGAAGGAAGACUGCCUUAUGGGUUGUAAACUUCUUUUAUACAGGAAUAAAAAGGCUUACGUGUAGGCCAUUGCAAGUACUGUAUGAAUAAGCAUCGGCUAACUCCGUGCCAGCAGCCGCGGUAAUACGGAGGAUGCGAGCGUUAUCCGGAUUUAUUGGGUUUAAAGGGUGCGCAGGCGGGCUUUUAAGUCAGCGGUGAAAUCUGGACGCUUAACGUCCAAACUGCCGUUGAAACUGGGAGUCUUGAGUAUGGAUGAAGUAGGCGGAAUUCGUUGUGUAGCGGUGACAUGCAUAGAUAUAACGAGGAACUCCGAUUGCGUAGGCAGCUUACUAAGCCAUAACUGACGCUCAUGCACGAAAAGCGUGGGGAUCAAAACAGGAUUAGAUACCCUGGUAGUCCACGCCGUAAAACGAUGAUUACUAGUUGUAUGCGAUAUGAUAGUAUGUGACUAAGCGAAAGCGAUAAGUAAUCCACCUGGGGAGUACGCCGGCAACGGUGAAACUCAAAGGAAUUGACGGGGUCAUAGCUGUUUCCUG
rnacentral:rRNA from 1 species